rnacentral:rRNA from 1 species
UACGUAGGGAGCAAGCGUUUGUCCGGUAUUUGAUUGGGCGUAAAGAGCUCGUGAGGCGGCUUAGCAAGUCAGAUGUGAAAACUCCAGGCUCAACCUGGAGACGCCAUUUGAUACUGCUAUGGCUUGAGUUCGGUAGGGGUAAGCGGAAUUCCUGGUGUAGCGGUGAAAUGCGCAGAUAUCAGGAGGAACACCGAUGGCGAAGGCAGCUUACUGGGCCGAUACUGACGCUGAGGGACGAAAGCUAGGGGAGCGAAAGGG